rnacentral:tRNA from 1 species
AAAGAAUUAGUUAAAACAUAACAUAAAUUUGUCUAAUUUAAAUUAUUUCAUAAAAAUAUUCUUUU